rnacentral:rRNA from 1 species
CAGAGGGGGCAAGCGUUGUUCGGAAUUACUGGGCGUAAAGGGCGCGUAGGCGGCCUGCUAAGUCGAACGUGAAAUCCCCGGGCUCAACCCGGGAACUGCGUCCGAUACUGGCAGGCUCGAAUCCGGGAGAGGGAUGUGGAAUUCCAGGUGUAGCGGUGAAAUGCGUAGAUAUCUGGAGGAACACCGGUGGCGAAGGCGGCAUCCUGGACCGGUAUUGACGCUGAGGCGCGAUAGCCAGGGGAGCAAACGGGAUUAGAUACCCCGGUAGUCCUGGCCCUAAACGAUGAAUGCUUGGUGUGGCGGGUAUCGAUCCCUGCCGUGUCGAAGCUAACGCAUUAAGCAUUCCGCCUGGGGAGUACGGUCGCAAGGCUG